ensembl:lncRNA
AAGGUGGUUCUGCUUCCCCUGGUGGCUCAGCUGGUAAAGAACCCGCCUGCGAUGUGGGAGACCUGGGUUUAAUCCCUGGGUUGGGAAGAUCCCUUGGAGAAAGGAAAGGCCACCCACUCCAGUAUCCUUCCCAGGAGAAUCCCAUAGACAGAGAGGCCAAGAGUCGGACGACUGAGGGACUAAGCCCAGCACAAUAUCUUAAUGGCCUCUGGAAGCAAACUAGAAUCCAAGCCUUAAGCGCCUGGAGGUUAGGAAAUCAAAACCUAAGGACAAUCUGUCAGAAACAGGGAGCUGGCAGGAGAGGAAGUUUUUACAAAUGGAUAGUGGACGCCGUGGCCCUCGAAAUGGCCCACAGCCAUCAGUCAUUGACAGCCUCCAUGUCCCAGCGUGGCAUCCUCCUGAGCAGAAGCCUUGCAGAAACUGUCUUUUCACAUACCAGGGAGAAGACUCAGGCUAGAGGGCUUCCUAUGAUACAGGUCAAGGAGAAAAGCCUGCUCAUCUACAAGCCAUUCUUCCUUCUCUCCUUAUCCUGGACACCCUCCAUGGCCUGUUUCCCAGGGUUACAGGAGAUUGGCCUGCAAUCUCAAAUUCGGGCUUAUUAAUUU